rnacentral:rRNA from 1 species
AGUGAACGCUGGCGGUAGGCCUAACACAUGCAAGUCGAACGGCAGCACGGUAAGAGCUUGCUCUUACGGGUGGCGAGUGGCGGACGGGUGAGGAAUACAUCGGAAUCUACUUUUUCGUGGGGGAUAACGUAGGGAAACUUACGCUAAUACCGCAUACGACCUACGGGUGAAAGCAGGGGAUCUUCGGACCUUGCGCGAUUGAAUGAGCCGAUGUCGGAUUAGCUAGUUGGCGGGGUAAAGGCCCACCAAGGCGACGAUCCGUAGCUGGUCUGAGAGGAUGAUCAGCCACACUGGAACUGAGACACGGUCCAGACUCCUACGGGAGGCCGCAGUGGGGAAUAUUGGACAAUGGGCGCAAGCCUGAUCCAGCCAUACCGCGUGGGUGAAGAAGGCCUUCGGGUUGUAAAGCCCUUUUGUUGGGAAAGAAAAGCAGCAGGUUAAUACCCCGCUGUUCUGACGGUACCCAAAGAAUAAGCACCGGCUAACUUCGUG